GAUGAACGCUGGCGGCGUGCCUUAGGUAUGCAAGUCGAACGGUUCGGCGCAAGUCGGACAGUAGGCGGACGGGUGAGUAACGCGUAAGAAUCUACCCACGAGUAGAAAAUAACCUAGCCGAAAGAGUAGGGCUAAUAUUCUAUAGUAUCUCCGGAUUAAAGGGUUUAACUACCCGCUUAUGGAGGAGCUUAGCGUCCUAUCAGCUAGUUGGUGAGGUAAAGGCCCACCAAGAGCUAUGACGGGUAUCUGGACUAGAGAGGUCGGACAGACACAGGGGCACUGAGACACGGGCUCCACAUCUACGGAUGGCAGCAACCAGGAAUAUUGGGCAAUGGGGGAAACCCUGACCCAGCGACGCCGCGUGGAGGAUGAAGGCCUUAGGGUCGUAAACUCCUUUUGCCAAGCCUUUCACAGCUUGGCGAAUAAGCACCUACUAACUACGUGCCAGAAGUCUCGGUAAUACGUAGGGUGCAAGCGUUAUCCGGAUUUACUGGGCGUAAAGAGUGUGUAGGCGGUCUUUUAAGUCUCUAUUUAAAGACCGGGGCUUAACCCCGGUUCUGGUAGGGAUACUAUUUGACUGGAAGAUUAUUCGGGUUACUGGAACAGUUGGUGUAGUGGUGAAAUACGUUGAUAUCAACUGGAACACCGAAGGCGAAGGCAAGUGACUAGGAUUUUCUUGACGCUGAGACACGAAAGCCAGGGUAGCGAAACAGAUUAGAGACCUGUGUAGUCCUGGCCGUAAACGAUGGAUACUAGCUAGCGUGCAAGCACUGGCGUAAGCUAACGCGUUAAGUAUCCCGCCUGGGGAGUACGACCGCAAGGUUAAAACUCAAAGGAAUUGACGGGGACCCGCACAACCAGUGGAGCGUGUGGUUUAAUUCGAGACGAAGCGAAAAACCUCACCAAGGCUUGACAUGCUAGAGUUCUAGUCACCCCAAAAGGUGAUGAUUCGUAAGAAGACUAGCACAGGUGCUGCAUGGCUGUCGUCAGCUCGUGCCGUGAGGUGUUCCCUUAAGUGGGGAAACGAGUGCAACCCUUAUCUAAUGUUAAAUAUUCAUUAGAGACUGCCCCGAUUUUUCGGGGAGGAAGGAAAGGCGGACGUCAAGUCAGCAUGGCCCUUAUGCCUUGGGCUACACACACCCUACAAUGGCGAAGAACAAUGGGUCGCAAGCUCGUAAGAGCAAGCUAAUCUCAGAAAUUUCGCCUCAGUUCAGAUUGGGGUCUGCAACUCGACCCCAUGAAGUUGGAAUCGGUAGUAAUCGCGGAUCAGCGGGCCGCGGUGAAUACGUUAUCGGGUCUUGUACACACCGCCCGUCAAGGCAGCAAAGUCGGUAGC
rnacentral:rRNA from 1 species